CGUACUGUCCCAAGAGUCAGCAUCCUAAAUUUAAAAUUAAUAAAUGCCUGGUUUGCUAUCUGUGCAAUGCUCUGUUCAUAUUCUCCUAUGGUUCUAUUCCCAAGAGGAAUUCCUCGAGGCUAAUAGCUUAAUUGUCAAACCUCUUUUCCCAGUCACACAUGCUCUACAAAUUCCUGCAAUGUAAUAUGAUCCCUUACUGUUCACUUACCUUUUACUUCAAAUAUCAGGCAUCAUCUUGCAUAGGUUAUCAGAGCUGGCAUGGUUCCAUGGGCUGUUCUGCACAGUGUAACUGAGUUUUACAUUCCUUUCUCAGAUAUCAGUACUUUUGUAUCACUACUUUUAGCAUCAUGGAUUUUCUGUCAGGUCCUGGCACAUUUCUGUUACUUUCUCUAGGUUUACAACUUUGAGUGUUCAUUAGUAACUUCAGCAAACUUAUGUUCCAGAAUAGAGUCUUGCCUUUUAUCAGACAUUCAGUUAACCUCACAAACUUGAAAUUCUGGCUUUUCCAUUGAAAGCAUUUAACCACUUGGGAGAGCAUUACUUUCUUUUGGUGCUGUCAUUACUGUUCAGAAUGCUACGACAGUGUUUUGGUUGGCCUCCUUUGCCUAAAUGUAACUGAAAACUGUUCAGGUAUUGCAGCAGAUCUGUCUAUUGUCAGUGACCACUACUUGAGAUACAGACUGAACCAUUAUGUACUCUUCAUUUGCCAUCUAUAGAACCAAAGAGUUGCAGUAGUGAAAGGUGAACUAACUGUACAGUUCUUCCAGGUUACCUUUGGCUAUUGCAUUUUCACCACUGUGUGUUUGUGGGGUAAUUACUCGAAGCUUUUGAGAGAAGCCUUUCCACCACCAGUGCUCUACACUCGCUGCUGUUAUUUAAUGUGGCUGCUUGCACAACUCAACAGCUGCUUCUACUAGAGUCUCUUAUAGCUCUGGCCAUUGAGUUUCUUUGGGAUAACCCCAUUCAUCAUCUCUGAUCUUUAAAAAGAACCACAGUCAUGUCCAGUAUUCAAAUUAAACCUGACUAGCUGCCUGUAACAGUACAGAAAAGGAAUAAAAGUAAAGAAAUUUUAUUAAAGCUGUUUUUGUAAUAAGUGUACUGCCUCUACUGAGCUCUUCAAGAAAACAUCACAAAUUUGUUCCAUUAGAUUUUUAUACAUAGUAGAGAUCUAUAACUUUUGCAACACCCAGCUGCAAUGGCACAAAAGGCACCUCAGAAACGCUUAAAAAUAGCAGCAGAAUGUUACAGAAUCAGUACUUUAGUUGUAGGUCCUAAAUAUCUUAUUUCUAUACCUAUUAAAGUUAACUUCAGGGUUUUAAAAUAAGUGUUCUAGGUUCUGUACAAAACACAAAUGCACAUGGCCUUCCCACUGCAGAUUAUAAGGCAAUUUAAAAAAAAUAAAAAAUAAAAAUCAACCCCAGACCCCCACACCCUCACUGCAGGAUUAUUUGGUAAAAUUGUUAAUCAAGAUGUUAAAGUUAUCCAGGUCUCACACAGCUGCCAAGAACUUAUUUUAUUGGGAGGGGAAGAGUGAAAGAUAGACUUUGGUUCAGAUGUAAACACUAGAAGAAGGAGAGUCAUCUAGGCAAGUCUGACAUUUAAAGCUGUUUCUGUUCACCAACCAACUCCCUCUACUGAACAUUUCCAGCAUGAUGUCACACAAACUGCCUGCAGGAUGGUCUCAAUAACCUACCAAAUCUCAGCUACCCCAGCAAGCCCACAAAGGCCAGUACUGCAAAGGCUUUACUAUACAAGUACAAAUAUCAUUUUAAAAUUAAAGUUUUUAAUCACUGCUUUUUUCUGCCUGCAAAACCAGUCAGAGUAGUACUGCAAUAUGCUACCUCAAUCUGGAAGGAAGAAAGGAAAUCUUGGAACUUCGUUCAGUAGUGAUCUGUAAUUUAUAUAGUCUCCCUCUGGGUCUAAUACUCUGACUAAUGAUAUUCACAAAGACAUAGUUCAAUUCAAAGAAAAGUGGAAGCUGAGGCUGUAUCGCAAAUGGUACUUCACAAGCUAUCAAACUUCAGGCCUCUAUAUUUCAAUUAAUCACAAUCCAUCAUAUCACACAUACAUUGGAAAAGAUAUUUCAGACACCAUAUCACCAUUAAUUUACAGAAUUAAAGUCAUGACAGGCAAUAUAAUUAAAAAAGGCAGGCUUAAAAAGAGUUGGAGGGGAAGAUUGUUGUGUUUGGUUUUUUUGUAUUUUUUUUAACAAUGUCAUCUUCCAGUAACUUUCCUGUUUCAUCCUAUUCCAUCUCAGUCUUGGAGAUUACAGACUUUGCUUCAAAGAAUUUCUUGGCACUCUCAUAGUCAUAAAACAAAUAUUCUAUAACUUCUAAGAUCAAACGCACUUUGGCAGGAUGCUAAAUAGCUACUUCUGCUCCAGUUUGGGCAGACACACUUGUAGAGUACUGAAUUUUUGCCUCUGCACCUCAGCAGUACAUGAUGUAUCAUGAAAUAUGCAGGUCUUCAUUAUGCUUGCCUUCAAAAAGACUGCUUGUCCUUCCCUACAACUAGAACUAAUAUCUAUUUGAAUGUGCUUCUCCAAAGUGAGUGAAACAUGUCACAGGAUCAAUUAGAACCUUUUGUACUUCUGAAACUUCAAUACUGCUCCAUUUUAAUAUUGUAAGCAGUGCUUUUUAUACAGGUUUUCCUCUCCCGGGCAGAGACUGUUUGCUAAGGAUCAUGUUCCAAAACAUUGUAAUUUUUGAUAGAAGGACUUCUUAUUUUGGAAGAAUCUUUUAAAUUUAUGAAAGAACAUUUUUGGAUUUAUUUUAUGGGGCAAGUGGACAGAAAUGAUGCCAGCACAAGAAAAAGCAAACAUAAGAAAAGCCUGUACACCUUAAAGUACAAAUGUUCCUUCUCGUUGGUUUUUCAGUAAAAACUGGACACGAGUAAGUUUAAGGGUACAAGGUAGGUAGAAACCUUAAUAUUAAGCAAAACAGAAAGAUGAAGAUUGAAGAAAAACCAAGCAAAGUACCAGCAACUGAAGCCAUUCAUAUCCCAAUACAGACAUGCUUAUAUUUGCAAGACACGCAUGCAAGCUUUGAGAUGAAACAGCAAGAUUAGAAGUAAUUCUGAAGGACUGAAUUCCCUGCUCUAGAGGCUGAGUACUUCAGCCACCCCUGUUAGCCGCUACAUUCCUCAAGUCCUCUGCUUACACAUGUGUAGGCUCCAAAAUUCACUGGGCAAGGUAGGGUCUUAACAAUACAACAUAAUGUAAAAUCUUUCUGCUUUUCUUUUCCUAAAUGCCAAAUAUACAGGUUAGUUACAAAGUAAAAUUAUUAAUAUUUAAUGCAAUAAGUUUAAACAUUUAUUCCAUUACAGUAGCUUGACCUUUGAAAAGUAAAAAUAUUUCAACUUUGUAAUGUAAAUUGAAAUCACAAGCAAAGCUAAACAUUUUUUAAAGAAGUGCUUGAUAUUUACAUACACAGAUGUGUGCGUAUACAUACAUAGAAACAGAUCUCCACUGGUUCUUCCAAAAUAUAAAUUCAGAAUUUUGUUCUAUAGAAAACACUGACUUGGAACAGAAAUAUUUUUCAAGUUUCCAAACUACCACAAAACUCAAAUAGCUUCCCAGCAUGGUUACUGCAGUAAUAAGUACCACAGAAAAAAGCAAGAAGAAAAUUAACAAGUUAGUAGUCAAAGCAGGCCUUGAAAAACUCACAGCAAAUGAAUCACAGGCCACGUUUUGAACAAAAAAACAAAAAAACAUAAUAUGGAAUUCAGUAAACACUGAUGUUCUCAAUGAUGUAGGAAUUCAGGAAUUUGUAGAAAAUAAGCAGUGGCUCACAAUUUUGGCAUUUUGUAACUUGUUUCAAGUAAAGCAUUUAAAUGUUCUUUAAAUACUGUUUGUGAGCUAGAAUACAGACUCUGAAGGAGAAAACAGACCGAUGCUACACUGACACUUUAUUCCCUCUGGGAAAGUGCUUCUAGCACUUUCCAACAUAAUUCAAAACUAUGCAACUAUAACAUGACUUCCUCUAUACAUAUAUCAAGCCAACAAAGUGCAAUUUUACAUAGAUUAUUAAUCCGACUUUACGGUUUGGAAAAUUGAUAGACAAAGGUGAAGCAAGUUGUCUCAGGUGGGAGAAGCUGAGCAAGCAAGAUAAAAACCAGCUAGUUCUCCUGACAUGGAGGAUCCUAAAUGGGAUUUACUGCUUUGUCACUUAUUUAUGACAGAAAUGUUAAAAUUUCAGAGUUACUUAUUCACUUAUACACUGUACUAAUAAAUAGGCGUUACAGGUCAGGAGGGCCUCAAAGAUUGUCAAAGGAAAUGCCAACAACUUUAGUAACAAUCAGGCAGCAUCAGACGAGGAGACGGAACAAGACAAGAGUUGGAUAUGCAUGAGGCGUUCAUUUAGUAACAGCCAAAGACCAAGGACAGCCUGUUGAACUUAGCAUUAACCAAGCAAGCCAGUCUUUUCCCCUGAAGAGGUUAUAACUCAAAUAGACCAAAGAGACAGGAGACAGGGAAGUACAGAACAACUUUCAUCCUGCCAGCAGCUCACAGCACCUCAGGGCUGCAGCCUUACUUUUUCUGCUGGAGGUGAGCACCACCUCUCCCAUUCACAGAAAUGCCAUUUUCCUACUCAUUUUAUCUAACCAGUUCUGCACAGAAGGCCUCUGAAAGCCCACAAGCACAGAGGUGCUCACCCUCAGCCUCUCCUCAAUGCAUCUAAGUGAUACCCUUCAUAUUUUGCGAUAGAGGAUAAUGAAACACACACCUCUGUCUCUUCAGCAGUCUACACUUCCCCAUAGCCUCACACUUUCCAUGAGCUAUUGAAGCUCUGAAGAGGCAACUGACAUUUACAUUACAGAACACUGGAAAGGUCAGUGCCAUAUGGCACAAUGUAGCCAUUCAGGGGGCACACCAGCUACUGAAAUGCCACUUCUUCUUUCUGAUGACAAAGGCCACAGAACACAACAGGAAACCAAACAGCAUAAUCACAUGUUUUCAAGAACCAUGAGGUAGAAAAGAUCAAAUUCUCUCAAACUUGGCACCCCUGACAGCUGUGCUUUGCAAGCCAGUAACUUUCUGUCAUCUCCAUCACAGACUGAUUUGGUUCCCUCCUCUCCCUACACUUUGAUGGCAGGAAUAUCUCCUCAUACCUGCUAGCACAGGUAUGAGUAGUAGCCAGGUGGCCCUGGAGUAGGCAUUUAUGUCACCCUGCUAUAAGCCUCAGCCUAGUUUCUCCUUCUGAAGCUCUUUGAGUAGGAAGUGACAUCAAUAUAACCUCUUUCCUAGACAGACUUAAGAUCAUGAAGUCCAAUGAGAUCUCGUGGCAGAAAUGCAAGAAGUAAACUAAGGCAGCCUCACUAGUCAUCAUAGAGUUUAGACCAGCAUACACUUUGGGUCUAUUUCUUUUUUUUUCAGUUCAUCAGGUUCUCAUAUGUAACUGCAAAGGCUACUAUAAGGAAAGACUCAGCAUUUCUAGAAACCAAGUUGGUAUGGAGAAAAAUUUGUUCCUGCCAAAAUGUGGUGCCAAGACAUCAUUCCUUUCCACCUGCUCCAGAACUGCUCUUAUGGCAUUUGUAUGGGAAAUAAGAUUACCAGUCAUUACUGACUUUCUACUGUGCUUCUUCACAUCUUCUGCUGUUAUUUUCAGCAUAUAAAGAAGAUGAAAAAAACCUAGAAACCAGCAGUAUCCUGAUCCUGAAGUGCUUCACAAACAGUAGCCCUGAUCUUACAAUGUCCCCAGUGGAUUGCCUCAAAGUCAGUGUUGCUCCUGACUGAUGAUUACUCAUACUGAGACAAUAGAAUUGAGACAAGACCUAAAAAUAGAAGAAGUUUAAACAGGAAUCAUUCCACCUGCACUGAAUAUUAUGGUCUCUGAAAAAACAGUGCAAUUGUUUGCUUUCAGACCUCUACAAGCUGUCUUCCAUACAUCAGCAGUCAGACACCUUGCUGCUGACCAUAAUCUUGGAUGAGAAAUCACUUCUGGUUUAUUGCAUUUUGUAAUUAAGGUCUGGUGCUCUUGUGAAAAAAACAAUACACAAAACUAAAAUCCACCACAUUAAUUCUGUAUUAUUAGGAUAAUAAUAAAAAUCCUGUAAAGAA